rnacentral:sRNA from 1 species
CGUCAUCAAUCUGUUGCGGGCAGAUAAAAUGAAUAUGGCUGUCAAAUCCGCCAGCGGUCAGAAUAUGGCCUUCUGCUGCAAUCGCUUCGGUUGACGGGCCAAUGAUGAUAUUCACGCCAUCUUGUGUGUCCGGGUUUCCGGCUUUGCCAAUCGCGUGGAUCAGUCCAUCUUUCAGGCCGAUAUCAGCUUUAUAGAUGCCGGUGACAUCAACAAUCAGCGCAUUGGUAAUCACCGUAUCCACCGCCCCGCCAUCCCGUGAGACCUGAGACUGGCCCAUACCGUCUCUUAUCA